ensembl:lncRNA
GGACGGAGUGGGGAUGGACGGAGAGAGUCGGGACGAACGGAGAGUGUGGGGAUGGACGGAGAGAGUCGGGACGAACGGAGAGUGUGGGGACGGAGGGAGUAGGGACAGAGGGAGUGGAGACGGAGGGAGAGUGUGGGGACGGAUGGAGAGUGUGGUCACGGAGUGAGUGGGGACGAACGGAGAGUUGGGGGACGGAGGGAGUGGGGAUGAGGGAGUGGGGACGGAUGGAGGAAGUGGGACGGAGAGAAGAGUGGGGACGGAAGGAGAGAGUGGGGACAGAGGGAGAGAGUGGGGACGGAUGGAGGGAGUGGGGACGGACGGGGAGUGGGGGACAGAGGGAGUGGGGACAGAGGGAGUGGGGACAGACGGAGAGUGUGGGGAAGGAGGGAGUCGGGACGGACGGAGAAUGUGGGGACGGAGGGAGUGGGGAUGGACGGAGUGGGGAUGGACGGAG